GACGAACGCUGGCGGCGUGCUUAACACAUGCAAGUCGAACGGAAAGGCCCUGCUUUUGUGGGGUGCUCGAGUGGCGAACGGGUGAGUAACACGUGAGUAACCUGCCCUUGACUUUGGGAUAACUUCAGGAAACUGGGGCUAAUACCGGAUAGGAGCUCCUGCUGCAUGGUGGGGGUUGGAAAGUUUCGGCGGUUGGGGAUGGACUCGCGGCUUAUCAGCUUGUUGGUGGGGUAGUGGCUUACCAAGGCUUUGACGGGUAGCCGGCCUGAGAGGGUGACCGGCCACAUUGGGACUGAGAUACGGCCCAGACUCCUACGGGAGGCAGCAGUGGGGAAUAUUGCACAAUGGGCGGAAGCCUGAUGCAGCAACGCCGCGUGCGGGAUGACGGCCUUCGGGUUGUAAACCGCUUUCGCCUGUGACGAAGCGUGAGUGACGGUAAUGGGUAAAGAAGCACCGGCUAACUACGUGCCAGCAGCCGCGGUGAUACGUAGGGUGCGAGCGUUGUCCGGAUUUAUUGGGCGUAAAGGGCUCGUAGGUGGUUGAUCGCGUCGGAAGUGUAAUCUUGGGGCUUAACCCUGAGCGUGCUUUCGAUACGGGUUGACUUGAGGAAGGUAGGGGAGAAUGGAAUUCCUGGUGGAGCGGUGGAAUGCGCAGAUAUCAGGAGGAACACCAGUGGCGAAGGCGGUUCUCUGGGCCUUUCCUGACGCUGAGGAGCGAAAGCGUGGGGAGCGAACAGGCUUAGAUACCCUGGUAGUCCACGCUGUAAACGGUGGGUACUAGGUGUGGGGUCCAUUCCACGGGUUCCGUGCCGUAGCUAACGCUUUAAGUACCCCGCCUGGGGAGUACGGCCGCAAGGCUAAAACUCAAAGGAAUUGACGGGGCCCCGCACAAGCGGCGGAGCAUGCGGAUUAAUUCGAUGCAACGCGUAGAACCUUACCUGGGUUUGACAUGGAUCGGGAGUGCUCAGAGAUGGGUGUGCCUCUUUUGGGGUCGGUUCACAGGUGGUGCAUGCCUGUCGUCAGCUCGUGUCGUGAGAUGUUGGGUUAAGUCCCGCAACGAGCGCAACCCUUGUUCACUGUUGCCAGCACGUUAUGGUGGGGACUCAGUGGAGACCGCCGGGGUCAACUCGGAGGAAGGUGGGGAUGACGUCAAGUCAUCAUGCCCCUUAUGUCCAGGGCUUCACGCAUGCUACAAUGGCUGGUACAGAGAGUGGCGAGCCUGUGAGGGUGAGCGAAUCUCGGAAAGCCGGUCUCAGUUCGGAUUGGGGUCUGCAACUCGACCUCAUGAAGUGGGAGUCGCUAGUAAUCGCAGAUCAGCAACGCUGCGCCAUUACGGGUCCCGGGGCU
rnacentral:rRNA from 1 species